rnacentral:misc_RNA from 1 species
GAAAGAAUAAAAAAGAUAGGAUCUGAUGUAGACAGGCUUUUGGUUGCGUCACAAGCAUAAAAUAAAUUUGGCUUUUCAUCAUCCUGGCCAUAAAUCUCACUCCAUUCUAUUUGCUGAUUUCUGUUGGGGCUGGUCAUAGUUUGAAAAGUUUAUGCCUGCUCAUGAAUGUGGACUGCUAUAUAUGGAUUUAUCAUUUAUUUGUGUCUUAAUUUCUU